rnacentral:misc_RNA from 1 species
UCCAGCUUAUCGCUGGCGGUCUCCUGCGAGUUCCGCCCUUGCGGGCAUGGCAACACAGGACAAGGGUUGCGCUCGUUGCGGGACUUAACCCAACAUCUCACGACACGAGCUGACGACAGCCAUGCAGCACCUCGACUCCACUCCCUUGCGGGAUAGGGAUGUUUCCACCCCCGUUGGGAAGCCGUUCGAGCCCAGGUAAGGUUCUUCGCGUUGCGUCGAAUUGAACCACAUGCUCCACCGCUUGUGCGGGCCCCCGUCAAUUCCUUUGAGUUUCAGCCUUGCGACUGUACUCCCCAGGCGGCAUAUUUAACGCGUUAGCUCCGGCACAGACAGAAUGAACUGCCUACACCAAAUAUGCAUCGUUUAGGGCGUGGACUAC